CCCUUAGAUGUCCUGGGCCGCACGCGCGCUACACUGAGUGUCUGAGAUACGAGUCUGCCUGGUCCGGCAAGGUCUAGGUAAUCGCUAAAAGACACAUCAUGCUUGGGAUAGAUUAUUGCAAAUAUUAAUCUUGAACGAGGAAUUCCUAGUAAGCGCAAGUCAACAGCUUGCGUUGAUUACGUCCCUGCCCUUUGUACACACCGCCCGUCGUUACUACUGAUUGGAUGUUUAAGCGAGGUUCUCGAACUGCUAGCGACUUAGCUUCGGUGAGGUCGCAGUGUGGGAAGUGAACCUAGCUUUGGUGUCUAGAGGAAGUAAAAGUCGUAACA
rnacentral:rRNA from 1 species